ACCGGGCGUGGUGGUGCGUGCCUGUAGUCCCAGCUACUCAGGAGUCUGAGGUGGGAGGAUCACUUGAGCCCAGGAGUUCUGGGCUGUAGUGAGCUAUGCCGAUUGGGUGUCCCCACUAAGUUUGGCAUCAAUAUGGUGACCUCCAGGGAGCAGGAAAACACAAGAUUGCCUAAGGAGGGGUGAACCGGCCCAGGUCAGAAACGAGCAAGUCAAAACUCCUGUGCUGAUCAGUAGGGGGAUAGCACCUGUGAAUAGCCACUGCACUCCAGCCUGGGCAACAUGGCGAGACCCAGUCUCUA
rnacentral:SRP_RNA from 13 species